GACAGUUUGAAGACACGGGGAGAAGAUGGUCAUCUACAAACCAAGGAGAGAGGCCUCAGAAGAAACCAUCUGGGUCCAUACCUUGGUCUGGAACUUCCAGCUUCCAGAACUCCCACCAAAUUCAAGAGGAGAAGACACCUGUCCAUGUGAAGGUGGCAAAGUUACAUUGCAGAGGAGCAUGUAGGACAGAUGAUAUUGUUGUACCUGUCUUCAGAAAUCCAAUCUGCCACAAAAUGAAUAGGUUUUCAGCACAAGAAAGAAAGCAAGUACCAAUAGACUCACGUAACUGAGCUCAUUUAUGGCUCCAAAAAUAUGGGUAGUUUCCAGAAUCAGACGGUUUCUUGAUCUACAUUUGAAAACUGAAAGAAGAACAUUAGGUCCUAAUCUCCAUCAACAAAUUCCUUCCAGCCAAGAACUCCCAGACUCAGCCACAGGGAGGGAGGCAUUCUCGAGAACCGAUGGGAAGAUCAACCUCAUUUUAUUGGUUUGGAGGACAGCCGGACCUCUAAGGCGUCCAUGUGGUAUGAUUGGGAGGAUCACUCAUCCUGGAAAAAGCCAGUGGCCAUGUUAUGAGAACCUUCAAGCGAUCCUAUGGAAAAGUGCAAAUGGCAAGAAACUAAAGCCUUUUUCCAACAGUCAGAGAGAAACUGAGGCCUCAUGCCAAUAGUCAUGUAAGUGAACCAUCACAUGAGAAGAUCCUCCAGCCUUGGUGAAGCUUUCAGGUGACCACAGCCCUGGCCACCAUCGUGACUCUCAGUUCAGGAGAGGCCCUGAGCCCAAACUACCCAGCUAAGCUGUUUCUGAGUUCUUGACCCACAGAAACUGUGGGAUAAUAAAUAUUUACUAC